GUUUACAGUCUCAAGAUGUACUCUUGGAUUCUCGCAUAGCAUAGCCUGAUAUUUGGUCAUUCUGCUAUUGCUGAACCAAUGAUUAUCUUUGUAAUCCAGUAGGGUCUGUACUGCAUGAGGUACUCGCACAUAGAGUUCCUGACCCACUGUAGGUUUGUCAGCUUCCGCUACCAACAAAGCUGCAGCAGCCACUGCUUGUAGACAAGGUGGAAGACCACUAGCCACCGCAUCCAGUUGUUUGGACAUGUAGGCUACAGGUCUUUGCCAUAAUCCUAAGUGCUGAGUUAACACUCCCACGGCCAUUCUUCUUUGCUCAUGCACAUAUAGGUAGAAAGGACGCGAGUGAUCUGGUAGGCCUAAGGCUGGGGCACUCAUAAGUGCUUUCCUGAUAUCUUCAAAUGCCUUCUGUUGUUCUGUGGUCCAUAGGAAUCAUGUUCCGUGCCUUUUACAGCUUCAUACAAAGGUUUCGCC